UACGUAGGGUGCGAGCGUUAAUCGGAAUUACUGGGCGUAAAGCGUGCGCAGGCGGUUUUGCAAGCCGGAUGUGAAAUCCCCGGGCUUAACCUGGGAAUGGCAUUUGGGACUGCAAGGCUGGAGUGCGGCAGAGGAGACUGGAAUUCCUGGUGUAGCAGUGAAAUGCGUAGAUAUCAGGAGGAACACCGAUGGCGAAGGCAGGUCUCUGGACAGUUCCUGACGCUGAGGCACGAAGGUCAGGGGAGCAAACGGG
rnacentral:rRNA from 1 species